rfam:Papilio machaon contig36963, whole genome shotgun sequence.
GCGUCGGGGGCUCAGGGGUUAAGCACUAGACUGGCAAUCUACAGGUCUUGGGUUCGAAUCCCGUCAUGCA